rnacentral:rRNA from 1 species
GACGAACGCUGGCGGCGUGCUUAACACAUGCAAGUCGAGCGAGGCCCGCUCUUCGGGGUGGUGCCCUAGCGGCGAACGGGUGAGUAACACGUGGGCAACCUGCCCUCAGCUCUGGGAUAACUCCAAGAAAUUGGUGCUAAUACCGGAUGUGACCGCUGACCGCAUGGUCUGGUGGUGGAAAGAUUCAUCGGCUGAGGAUGGGCCCGCGGCCUAUCAGCUUGUUGGG